CGGGGUGUAGUGAAACGGCUAUCAUUCGUGAUUUGGGAUCACGCGUUUCGGGUUCGAAUCCCGGCACCCCGAC
rnacentral:tRNA from 1 species